rnacentral:rRNA from 1 species
GUGAGGAAUAUUGCGCAAUGGAGGCAACUCUGACGCAGCCAUGCCGCGUGCAGGAAGAAGGCGCUACGCGUUGUAAACUGCUUUUAACCGGGAAGAAACCCCAGGACGUGUCCUGGGUUGACGGUACCGGAGGAAUAAGCACCGGCUAACUUCGUGCCAGCAGCCGCGGUAAUACGAAGGGUGCAAGCGUUAUCCGGAUUCAUUGGGUUUAAAGGGUGCGUAGGCGGAGCGUUAAGUCAGUGGUGAAAUCCUGCAGCUUAACUGUAGACUUGCCAUUGAUACUGGCGCUCUUGAGUGCGCUUGAAGUGGGCGGAAUGUGCCGUGUAGCGGUGAAAUGCUUAGAGAUGGCACAGAACACCAAUUGCGAAGGCAGCUCACUAAGGCGAUACUGACGCUGAGGCACGAAAGCGUGGGGAUCGAACAGGAUUAGAUACCCCGGUAGUCC